rnacentral:lncRNA from 12 species
GUAAUACCAGCAUGAAUGAAAAAAAAAAGGUUGAAGAGUGUAUCAAAAUGCAAAUGGUAGUUAGAGACAUAUCGUGAUGUACUGUGAUGGAAUGAUAAUGUUAUGAAUAUCUGUUGCUAUAUUCCAGCAAUUAAAAGAAUCUGUUUUUUGUAAAUGGGAUAGACACAUUAAAUCAACAUCUGUCAGAUUCAGACUUAAACAGCUAAGGGAAAAACCAAAGGCAAUGAUGGCAGGGGUUUUAUAUUUAUAAGGAAAUACUAUAUGGAUCAAUUUUUAAGAUUUGCUUCUUUUGAUAAAAUGAAAAAUACCAAUUGUUUCCAUAAAAUAAGCUUUGCUUUUACAUUUGACAUUUAGUUUGUCCAUGUUUCUUUGUUUUGCUUUUCAGACUCAACUUUUCUACAUAAUUAAGAAUUUACAGCUUAGGCACUGCCAAAAACCACAUCUGAACUGAAAUCAAUUAUCUGUGUUUGGCGUGAACGCUUUGAUAACAUGUCAAGGUGGUGGGAUUUGCUCACAAAAGGAUUGAUAGCCUGAUCCAGGAUCUGUUUCGUCUCAAUUUAGGCAAAGCACCUGCCCAAACUUGAAACUUCAAAGUACUCCUCCCAAAGUGGUCCAUCCAGUAUUUAUUCGCCUCUGUUCCAUAAAAGGCAACUUUGGUCAAGCUUUAUAUAAUUAUACAAGGAAGGAAGAUAAACAACUGGACAAAGAGAGAGAGAGAAAAAGAGAGACAGCAAAAAAGGGGAAAAAAAUAUUGUGAGUAUUUGCAUAUGAUUUUGCAAAGCCAAAAGCAUUGACUUAUAUUAGAAAUGGGUAAAUUGAAAAGAUCACCCUGAAAGCAUAUU